rnacentral:rRNA from 1 species
GUCGAGAAUCUUUCACAAUGGGGGCAACCCUGAUGGAGCGACGCCGCGUGGAGGAUAAGGUCUUCGGAUUGUAAACUCCUGUCAUGCGUGAACAAGGUUGCUUGGAUAAUACCUGAGCAAAUUGAUGGUAGCGCAAGAGGAAGAGACGGCUAACUCUGUGCCAGCAGCCGCGGUAAUACAGAGGUCUCAAGCGUUGUUCGGAAUCACUGGGCGUAAAGGGUGCGUAGGUGGCGUGGCAAGUCAGAUGUGAAAGCCCGGGGCUCAACCGCGGAACUGCAUCCGAUGCUGCCAUGCUAGAGUACUGGAGGGGUGACUAGAAUUCUCGGUGUAGCAGUGAAAUGCGUAGAUAUCGAGAGGAAUACCAAAGGCGUAGGCAGGUCACUGGACAGUUACUGACACUGAGGCACGAAGGCCAGGGGAGCGAACGGGAUUAGAAACCCGAGUAGUCC